CGGUAAUUCCAGCUCCAAUAGCGUAUACUAAAGUUGUUGCAGUUAAAAAGCUCGUAGUUGGAUUUCUGCGGGGACGGAGCGGCCGGACGCAACUUGCGUCUCGAGCUAGCGCUUUCCCCACAUCCUGCCGCGGACCGUGCUACCAUUAGUUUGGUGGCGUUGGGGAUCGGCUCGAUUACUUUGAGAAAAAUAGAGUGUUCAAAGCAGGCCACACGCCUUGAAUAAGUUAGCAUGGAAUAAUGACUAAGGACUUUGGUUCUUUUCGUUGGUGUUCGGGACUGAAGUAAUGAUUGAUAGGGACAGUUGGGGCGGUCCGUAUUCCAAAGCGAGAGGUGAAAUUCUUAGACCUUCGGAAGACGAACAGCUGCGAAAGCGUUCCGCAAGGAUGUUCCCUUUGAUCAAGAACGAAAGUUGGGGGAUCGAAGACGAUCAGAUACCGUCGUAGUCUCAACUAUAAACUAUACCAGCUAGGGAUCGGCCAACGUUUAAUUAUUCGACUUGGUCGGCACCUUAUGAGAAAUCAAAGCAUCUGGGUUCCGGGGGGAGUAUGGUCGCAAGGCUGAAACUUAAAGGAAUUGACGGAAGGGCACCACCAGGCGUGGAGCCUGUGGCUUAAUUUGACUCAGCACGGGAAAACUUACCAGGUCCAGACAUAGGAAGGAUUGACAGAUUGAUAGCUCUUUCUUGAUUCUGUGGGUGGUGGUGCAUGGCCGUUUUUAGUCGGUGAAGUGAUUUGUCUGCUUAAUUGCGUUAACGGACGAGACCCCAGCCUGCUAAAUAGCGCGGCCGAGCUUUGCUCGGUGCGAGCUUCUUAGAGGGACCAUGAUGCGCGAUAGCACAAGGAAGUUUGGGGCAACAACAGGUCUGUGAUGCCCUUAGAUGUUCUGGGCCGCACACGGGCUACACUGGCGCCUGCAACGAGCAUAUCAGCUGGCCCGAGAGGGUCUUGGCUAAUCUUUGGAACCGGCGCCGUGCUUGGGAUUGACCAUUGCAAUUGUUGGUCAUGCAACGAGGAAUGCCUUGUAAACGCGAGUCAUCAGCUCGCAUUGAAUACGUCCCUGCCCUUUGUACACACCGCCCGUCGCUCCUACCGAUGAAUGUUCCGAUGAAAUUUUCGGAGAGCGCCGGAGAACGGGGCUCUGCCCUGCAGAACUGGAGGCUCAAAGUCACUUAAAUCUGAACAUUUCGAGGAAGGAGAAGUCGUAACAAGGUAGCCG
rnacentral:rRNA from 1 species